rnacentral:rRNA from 1 species
AGAGUUUGAUUCUGGCUCAGAACGAACGCUGACGGCGUGCCUAACACAUGCAAGUCGAGCGAGAAAGUCCCGGCAACGGGAUGAGUAAAGCGGCAAACGGGUGAGUAACGCGUAGGUAAUCUGCCCUUCGGANCGGGAUAACCUGCCGAAAGGUGGGCUAAUACCGGAUGAUGUUCUUGCGGAGAUUCUGUGAGAACCAAAGGGGGCGAGCGAAAGCAGCUUUCACCGAAGGAGGAGCCUGCGUCCGAUUAGCUAGUUGGUGGGGUAAUGGCCUACCAAGGCGACGAUCGGUAGCCGGCCUGAGAGGGUGACCGGCCACACUGGAACUGAGACACGGUCCAGACUCCUACGGGAGGCAGCAGUGGGGAAUAUUGCGCAAUGGGCGAAAGCCUGACGCAGCGACGCCGCGUGGGUGAUGAAGGCCUUCGGGUCGUAAAGCCCUGUCGGGUGGAACGAAUGACCUGGCGGCGAAUAACCGCCGGGUGUGACGGUACCACCGAAGGAAGCCCCGGCUAACUACGUGCCAGCAGCCGCGGUAAGACGUAGGGGGCGAGCGUUGUUCGGAUUUACUGGGCGUAAAGCGCGCGUAGGCGGCCAGAUAAGUCGGGUGUGAAAGCCCUCGGCUCAACCGAGGUUCCGCAUCCGAUACUGCUUGGCUGGAGUCUAGAAGAGGAGAGCGGAAUUCCCAGUGUAGCGGUGAAAUGCGUAGAUAUUGGGAGGAACACCCGUGGCGAAGGCGGCUCUCUGGACUAGCACUGACGCUGAGGCGCGAAAGCUAGGGGAGCGAACGGGAUUAGAUACCCCGGUAGUCCUAGCCGUAAACGAUGGGCACUAGGUGUGGGAGGUAUUGACCCCUUCCGCGCCGAAGCUAACGCAUUAAGUGCCCCGCCUGGGGAGUACGGCCGCAAGGCUAAAACUCAAAGGAAUUGACGGGGGCCCGCACAAGCGGUGGAGCAUGUGGUUCAAUUCGACGCAACGCGAAGAACCUUACCAGGGCUUGACAUCCCACGAACCUGCCUGAAAGGGCGGGGUGCCCGCAAGGGAACGUGGAGA